rnacentral:lncRNA from 1 species
AUUAUAAUCCAAGCAAUAAUUAGGAUUAGUAGUCCAACUCUAAUUAACUAGCUUAAAAUAUUUUGAAGUCAAAGUUAUCAAUGGAGUUUGUUUCUUACUACUUUUAUCCAGCAUAUAUAUACAUAUAUAUAUAUAUAGAGAGAGAGAGUUAGGCUACUAUAUUAUCUAUAGUACCGAGCUCCGGUACUAUAGUGUUGGUUUUCGAUCUUAGGGCGUUCAAAUCAAUGAUCCACACCGUUAAAACUGAUCUAGAGUAUUUAAAGUUUCUAAAAAUAAAAUUUUAUAUUUUUUCGACAUAGUUUACUUUAUGAUCAAACUAUUUCAAAAUUGUCAAUUUUCAAUGGCUAUUAUGACAAGUUUGGAGUUUAACGGUGUAGAAGAAUCUAAAUUUCUUCAAAUUUUGAUAGAAAAUACUUUAAACUAUAUAGAUUAAGGUUAACAUUCUUGAUCUUGAAUUUAAAAGUCCUAUGCUCAAAUUUUAAAGAUUAUUCAAUUUCCACCGUCCAUUUUGAUAUAAUUUAUUUACUAAGUAAACGAUAUCGAAAAAAACUAAAAUUUUAUUCCUAAGAAAUUCAUAUACCCUAGAUCAUAUUUAACGGUGUGGAUCGUUGAUUUGAACGCCCUAAGAUCGAAAACAAACACUAUAGUACCGGAGCUCGGUACUAUAGAUAGUAUAGUAGCCUAACUCAUAUAUAUAUCUAUAUAUAUAUAUAUAUAUAUAUAUAUAUAUAUAUAUAUAGAAUUAGGCUACUAUACUAUCUAUAGUACCGAGCUCCGGUACUAUAGUGUUUGUUUUCGAUCUUAGGGCGUUCAAAUCAACGAUCCACACCGUUAAAACUGAUCUAGGGUAUUUAAAGUUUCUAGAAAUAAAAUUUUAUAUUUUUUCGACAUAGUUUACUUUAUGAUCAAACUAUUUCAAAAUUGUCAAUUUUCAAUGGCUAUUAUGACGAGUUUGGAGUUUAACGGUGUAGAAGAAUCUAAAUUUCUUCAAAUUUUGAUAGAAAAUACUUUAAACUAUAUAGAUUAAGGUUAACAUUUUUUAUCUUGAAUUUAAAAGUCCUAUACUCAAAUUUUAAAGAUUAUUCAAUUUUCACCGUCCAUUUUGAUAUAAUUUAUUUACUAAGUAAACGAUAUCGAAAAAAACUAAAAUUUUAUUUCUAAGACAUUCAUAUACCCUAGAUCAUAUUUAACGGUGUGGAUCGUUGAUUUGAACGCCCUAAGAUCGAAAACAAACACUAUAGUACCGGAGCUCUAUACUAUAGAUAGUAUAGCAGUCUAAUUCUAUACACACACACACUUUUGGAAGAUACAUACCAAAC